CAGUCGCCGCGGGAAUACGUAGGUGGCAAGCGUUGUUCGGAAUUACUGGGCGUAAAGCGCACGUAGGCGGCUUGGUAAGUUAGAGGUGAAAGCCCGGAGCUCAACUCCGGAAUUGCCUUUAAGACUGCCGAGCUAGUAGGUGAGAGAGGUAAGUGGAAUUCCGAGUGUAGAGGUGAAAUUCGUAGAUAUUCGGAAGAACACCAGUGGCGAAGGCGGCUUACUGGCUCAUUCUAGACGCUGAGGUGCGAAAGCGUGGGGAGCAAACAGGAUUAGAUACCCCUGUAGUCCCUGUCUCUUAUAC
rnacentral:rRNA from 1 species